rnacentral:ribozyme from 13 species
GAAGAUGGUGUCCAAAAAACCCUUUUUCUCUCUCUUUCCCUUCCCUUUUCUCUUUCCCUUCUUUCUCUUCUCCCUCUCUUCUCUCUUUCAAUGAAUGAACACAUUGAGAAGAGAGAGAGGGAAGAGAGAGAGGGGCAAAUGGAAGAACAAGUAAGGGAGAGAGAAGAAA